rnacentral:rRNA from 1 species
CCUACGGGUGGCAGCAGUGAGGAAUAUUGGGCAAGGGACGAGAGUCUGAACCAGCCAAGUAGCGGGAAGGAUGACUGCCCUAUGGGGUGUAAACUUCUUUUAUAAAGGAAUAAAACGAGGCACGUGUGCCUUUUUGCAUGUACCUUAUGAAUAAGGAUCGGCUAACUCCGUGCCAGCAGCCGCGGUAAUACGGAGGAUCCGAGCGUUAUCCGGAUUUAUUGGGUUUAAAGGGAGCGUAGUUGGGUUGUUACGUCAGUUGUGAAAGUUUGCGGCUCAACCGUAUACUUGCAAUUGAUACUGGCAGUCUGGAGUACAGUUGAGGUCGGCGGAAUUCGUGGUGUAGCGGUGAUAUGCUUAGAUAUCACGAAGAACCCCGAUUGCGAAGGCAGCUUACUAAACUGUGACUGACAUUGAUGCUCGAAAGUGUGGGUAUCAAACAGGAUUAGAUACCCGAGUAGUC